rnacentral:rRNA from 1 species
UAAACGCUGGCGGCAUGCUUAACACAUGCAAGUUGAGCGAAUGUAAUUGUGAAGUUUUGGUUCGGGGCAACCCGAGACGAAGCGGAGCAAUUAUGUUAGCAGCAAACGGGUGAGUAAUACGUGGGAAACCUACCCUCAAAAGGAGCACAACCCUGGGAAACCGGGGCUAAUUCUCCAUAAUGUUCAAAAGACACAUGUCUUCUGAAUUAAAGGUCGCCUCUGGCGGUCGCUUGAGGAGGGUCCCCUCGGCCUAUCAUGGUAGUUGGCGGGGUAAUAGCCCACCAAGCCGAUGACGGGUAGCCG